rnacentral:misc_RNA from 1 species
GAUGAAGAACGUAGCGAAAUGCGAUAAGUAAUGUGAAUUGCAGAAUUCAGUGAAUCAUCGAAUCUUUGAACGCACCUUGCGCCCUUUGGCCAUUCCGAAGGGCAUGCCUGUUUGAGUAUCAUGAACACCUCAACUCUUCAUGGUUUUCCGUGAUGAGCUUGGACUUUGGGGGUCUUGCUGGCCUAUGGUCAGCUCCUCUAAAAUAAAUCAGCUUGCCAGUGUUUGGUGGGUAUCACAGGUGUGAUAACUAUCUACGCUUGUGGUUUUCCACCAGGUAACCUUCAGCAGUGGAGGUUCGCUGGAGCUCACAGAUGUGUCUCUCCUCAGUGAGGACAGCUCUUUGAAUGUUUGAUCUCAAAUCAGGUAGGACUACCCGCUGAACUUAAGCAUAUCAAUAAGCGGGA